rnacentral:rRNA from 1 species
UAUUGCACAAUGGGGGAAACCCUGAUGCAGCGACGCCGCGUGAGUGAAGAAGUAUUUCGGUAUGUAAAGCUCUAUCAGCAGGGAAGAAAAUGACGGUACCUGACUAAGAAGCCCCGGCUAACUACGUGCCAGCAGCCGCGGUAAUACGUAGGGGGCGAGCGUUAUCCGGAUUUACUGGGUGUAAAGGGAGCGUAGACGGCAGUGCAAGCCUGGAGUGAAAGGAUGGGGCCCAACCCCAUGACUGCUCUGGGAACUGUACAGCUAGAGUGCCGGAGGGGUAAGCGGAAUUCCUAGUGUAGCGGUGAAAUGCGUAGAUAUUAGGAGGAACACCAGUGGCGAAGGCGGCUUACUGGACGGUAACUGACGUUGAGGCUCGAAAGCGUGGGGAGCA